rnacentral:rRNA from 1 species
GAUGAACGCUGGCGGCGUGCCUAAUACAUGCAAGUCGAGCGAACAGAUAAGGAGCUUGCUCCUUUGACGUUAGCGGCGGACGGGUGAGUAACACGUGGGUAACCUACCUAUAAGACUGGGAUAACUUCGGGAAACCGGAGCUAAUACCGGAUAACAUUUGGAACCGCAUGGUUCUAAAGUGAAAGAUGGUUUUGCUAUCACUUAUUGAUGGACCCGCGCCGUAUUAGCUAGUUGGUAAGGUAACGGCUUACCAAGGCGACGAUACGUAGCCGACCUGAGAGGGUGAUCGGCCACACUGGAACUGAGACACGGUCCAGACUCCUACGGGAGGCAGCAGUAGGGAAUCUUCCGCAAUGGGCGAAAGCCUGACGGAGCAACGCCGCGUGAGUGAUGAAGGGUUUCGGCUCGUAAAACUCUGUUAUUAGGGAAGAACAAAUGUGUAAGUAACUGUGCACGUCUUGACGGUACCUAAUCAGAAAGCCACGGCUAACUACGUG